UUAAGAGCUUCUAAGGUAGUUGCCAAAAGGUCUGUUCAUAAACCCUAUCCAUCUAUGAAACAGUACUAAACUAACCCACCUUGGCUUGGUUUCCUUGAAUGAGUGAGUGAAAGAAACAUGGAAGAUCCAGAUGCAGAGGGGAAGAGAAUGAAGAUACACUCUACUCUGCUGCUUCCAUGCGUGGCUUCCGAACCAGUGGGAGAGCUUCUUGCAAAGCAAAGUACCAAAAAACUAUCCUUUCAUCUUCUCUCAUUUUCAUAUGAUCAAUCUUGAACAAUGUCCUAUCAAGUGAGCUCUCCACUUGCUCAAAAACAAAAAGAAACAAAGAGAAUUGUUCAUCAUUAUCAAGCUGGAGCUGGACACAUCAAAGGCAUAUUACCGGGCCAACAGGUCCUUUCUUGAGGGUGCUGAGUAGGUUCUAAGAUUGAGGGUUAGCCCUCAUCAUACAAGGUCCGCAUAUUAAUUGUCAAAAAAUUCAAGCACCCGAGGCAACCUUCCCACCAGAGAAUUCCUUUCCGUACGCUAGACAGGUACAUUCGGAGGUUUUAUCAAAAUCUGUCUACGUCAGUGCAACCUCGUGAAAUUGGGCUUGCAGAGUAGUUGCACAAUUUGACAUGUUUGGGGGGCAUUUCUUUAUUGGUUUUGUAACUUGGUAGAGAUCAGAGAAUCAAUCAACUAAGGGAAGAAGAAAAGAACAAA